CCAACGUGGAUACCCUGUGAGUUGCACUCAUAUGGCUCUGUCCGUGUGGCGUAUGGGAGCGUAGCACUCUGGUGCUGUGACGUAUAUUCCCGUUCCACGACGUUGGAGAGCAAGUCUGUCCCCGGCCUUUGGGCUGGUGAGGAUGGCGUCCUGUAUAUUCCUACAUCUUCUCAGAGCCCUUUGGGCAGUUACUGGGGAGCUAAACCAUGCAGGGCACAACC
ensembl:snoRNA SNORA73 Small nucleolar RNA SNORA73 family